UACGAAGGGGGCUAGCGUUGUUCGGAAUUACUGGGCGUAAAGCGUGCGCAGGCGGCCUUCCAAGUCAGGGGUGAAAGCCCAGAGCUCAACUCUGGAAUUGCCUUUGAGACUGUGAGGCUUGAGUACGGGAGAGGUGAGUGGAAUUCCCAGUGUAGAGGUGAAAUUCGUAGAUAUUGGGAAGAACACCGGUGGCGAAGGCGGCUCUCUGGCCACAACUGACGCUGAGGCGCGAAAGCGUGGGGAGCAAACAGG
rnacentral:rRNA from 1 species